AAAUAUUCCUGUACCGAUUCUAGAUGCGAUGUGGGGACGGAGAAGGUUAGGUCAGCCGGGUGUUGGACGUCCCGGUUUAAGCGUGUAGGCGUGCCCCUUAGGCAAAUCCGGGGGGCUGAGCUGAGGCGUGAUGACGAGGAACCACGGUUCCGAAGUGAUUGAUACCAAGCUUCCAGGAAAAGCCACUAAGCUUCAGUCUAGAGUUGACCGUACCGCAAACCGACACAGGUGGGCAGGAUGAAAAUUCUAAGGCGCUUGAGAGAACUCAGGAGAAGGAACUCGGCAAAUUAACACCGUAACUUCGGGAGAAGGUGUGCCCCGGUAGCGUGUAGAGACUUGCUCUCGAAGCGCGAUGGGGUUGCAGUGAAAUGGUGGCUGCGACUGUUUAAUAAAAACACAGCACUCUGCAAACACGAAAGUGGACGUAUAGGGUGUGACGCCUGCCCGGUGCCGGAAGGUUAAGUGAUGGGGUGCAAGCUCUUGAUCGAAGCCCCGGUAAACGGCGGCCGUAACAAUAACGGUCCUAAGGUAGCGAAAUUCCUUGUCGGGUAAGUUCCGACCUGCACGAAUGGCGUAACGAUGGCCACACUGUCUCCUCCUGGGACUCAGCGAAGUUGAAAUGUUUGUGAAGAUGCAAUCUACCCGCGGCUAGACGGAAAGACCCCAUGAACCUUUACUGUAGCUUUGCAUUGGACUUUGAACCGGUUUGUGUAGGAUAGGUGGGAGACUGUGAAGCCGGGACGCUAGUUUCGGUGGAGUCAACCUUGAAAUACCACCCUGAUUUGUCUGAGGUUCUAACCUUGGUCCGUGAAUCCGGAUCGGGGACCGUGCAUGGUAGGCAUUUUGACUGGGGCGGUCUCCUCCCAAAAGGUAACGGAGGAGUACGAAGGUACGCUUAGGGCGGUCGGACAUCGCCCACAAAGUGCAAUGGCAAAAGCGUGCUUGACUGCGAGACCCACAAGUCGAGCAGGUACGAAAGUAGGUCAUAGUGAUCCGGUGGUUCUGUAUGGAAGGGCCAUCGCUCAACGGAUAAAAGGUACUCUGGGGAUAACAGGCUAAUUCCUCCCAAGAGUUCAUAUCGACGGGGGAGUUUGGCACCUCGAUGUCGGCUCAUCACAUCCUGGGGCUGUAGUCGGUCCCAAGGGUAUGGCUGUUCGCCUUUUAAAGUGGUACGCGAGCUGGGUUUAAAACGUCGUGAGACAGUUUGGUCCCUAUCUGCCGUGGGCGCUGGAAAUUUGAAGGGGGCUGCUCCUAGUACGAGAGGACCGGAGUGGACGAACCUCUGGUGUACCGGUUAUGACGCCAGUCGUAUCGCCGGGUAGCUAAGUUCGGAAGAGAUAAACGCUGAAAGCAUCUAAGCGUGAAACUCGCCUUAAGAUAAGAUUUCCCGGAGUCUUGAACUCCCUGAAGGGUCGUCGAAGACCACGACGUUGAUAGGUCAGGUGUGGAAGCGCAGCAAUGCGUUAAGCUAACUGAUACUAAUUGCCCGUGCGGCUUGAUCCU
rnacentral:rRNA from 1 species